GCCGCCUACCAGCUGUUGCUGAUCUGGCACGGUGAAAGUGCCUGGAACCUGGAGAACUGCUUCAGUGGCUGGAAGGACACCGCCCUGAGCCCGGGAGCCACAAGGAGGCGAAGUGUGGUGGACAGGCACUGCAAGAUACUGGCUAUAAGUUCAACAUCUACUUCACAUCAGUGCAGAAGAGAGCGAUCUGGACCCUCUGGACAGUGCCAGAUGCCACUGACCUGAUGUGGCUGCCCGUAGUGAGGACUUGGCAUCUUAAUGAGUGGCACUCUGGUGGUCUGACCGACCUCCGUAAAGCAGAAACUGCUGCCAAGCAUGGUAAAGAUCUGGAGGCGCUCCUGUGAUGUCCCACCACCUCUCAUAGAGCCCGAUCAUCCCUUCUACAGCAGCAUCAGUAAAGAUCGCAGGUAUGUACCCCUCACUGAAGAUCAGCUACCCUCUUGUGAGGGUCUGAAGGACACUUCUGCCAGAGCUCUGCCCUUUGGAAUGAAGAAAUAGUUCCCCAGAUUAAGGAGGGGAAAUGGGUACUGAUUACAGCCCAUGGCAACAGCUUCCCCGGCAUUGUCAAGCAUCUGGAGGGUCUCUCUGCAGAGCAGAACCUGCUGACUGCUAUUCUCGUUGUCUAUGAAUUGGACAAGAACUUGAAGCACAUCAGGCGCAUGCAGUUCCUGGGGGAUGAAGAGACCGUGCAUAAAGCCAUGGAAGCUGUGGCUGCCCAGGAUAAAGAAAAGAGGUAA
rnacentral:lncRNA from 1 species